GACGAACGCUGGCGGCGUGCCUAAUACAUGCAAGUUGAGCGCUGAAGGCUGGUACUUGUACCAACUGGAUGAGCAGCGAACGGGUGAGUAACGCGUGGGGAAUCUGCCUUUGAGCGGGGGACAACAUUUGGAAACGAAUGCUAAUACCGCAUAAAAACUUUAAACACAAGUUUUAAGUUUGGAAGAUGCAAUUGCAUCACUCAAAGAUGAUCCCGCGUUGUAUUAGCUUGUUGGUGAGGUAAAGGCUCACCAAGGCGAUGCUACAUAGCCGACCUGAGAGGGUGAGCGGCCGGAUUGGGACGGUGACACGGCCCAAACGCCUACGGGAGGCGGCAGUAGGGAAUCGUCGGCAAGGGACGAAAGACUGAGCGAGAUACGCCGAGUGAGGGAAGAAGGGUGUCGGAUCGGAAAAGUCUGUUGGUAGAGAAGAACGUUGGUGAGAGUGGAAAGCACAGCAAGUGACGGUAACUACCCAGAAAGGGACGGCUAACUACGUG
rnacentral:rRNA from 1 species